CUAGAGCUGAGAGAAAUUGCUUGUCCAUGGGGGCAAACCUUGCAUCAGUGCACGGUGUCAAUGAGUACAAAGCGAUUCAGAGUCUGACUGCCCCUCAUGGCAAUCCUAAAACUUGGAUUGGAGGGACCGAUGCACCCCAGGACUUUAUUUGGUUGUGGAGUGAUGGCACCAGUUUUCACUAUUCAUCCUGGUGCCCAGGAGAGCCCAAUAAUGAUCGCGGUCAGCAUUGUAUUCAGAUGAAUUAUGGAGGUUCCAAGGGCUGGGAUGAUGUGCAGUGUAAUGAACAUCUGCCAUCUGUCUGCGCCAAGAAAGUCUAAUGUUUCUUGGACUGAAACUGAUGUACGAUGGUGUUUGUGCUUCGCUAGCUCUUACUUUAUUUAAUUUUGCAGCAUUAUAUUUUUCCUCUCUAUAGCACCCAAACAAAAUGAACAAUCAACACAAGUUGGGCUGUCAUUAAGGCCUUGUGACUUUAGUGGGAGCAGACUUGUUACCAAAGGAUUGAUUUUACAUUUUUCUUCUGCAGAGAAAACUGUUCUCUUCUUUCUUUAACAUUAAAGCAUCAAACAAGCA